ACACAAAGAAAAUCAUUAGCAAAAAAAGCACAAAGUGAGAAAUAUGCAUUAAAAUGAUGUAUAACAUAACCACAUUUAUUUAAGAAUGUAUUCCAAUACUAAAACAGCAAAGUUCAAAAAUGUAAAACCGCAAUUACCUCUGCACCAACCUAAU